rnacentral:sRNA from 1 species
GUCGGGUUCGGAAUGAAGCGGUUCACCUCGCCGCCGACCAGCAUCUUCACCCGGCGGCCCUGCUGGACCACCUGCACUCCGCGUUCGGUGAACUUCUU